rnacentral:tRNA from 1 species
GCCGGCGUGGUGAAACAGGUAGACGCACGGGACUCAAAAUCCCGCGGGCCGCGGGUCCGUGUCGGUUCGAUUCCGACCGCCGGCACCA